rnacentral:rRNA from 1 species
GAGUUUGAUCGUGGCUCAGGAUGAACGCUGGCGGCGUGCCUAACACAUGCAAGUCGAACGGAGUUCUUAAGGAAUGCGGCUUCGGCCAAAUGACUUUUGAACUUAGUGGCGGACGGGUGAGUAACGCGUGAGCAACCUGCCUUUCAGAGGGGGAGUAACAUUUGGAAACAGAUGCUAAUACCGCAUAAGAUUACAGUACCGCAUGAUACAGUGAUCAAAGGAGCAAUCCGCUGAAAGAUGGGC